ACCGACCUUAUCUGGGGGUGUGAGCACACUCAAGGAUCGUUUAGAGAGAGUAUGCCUGCUAACACCAACACAUAACUAGAUCCGCACCGCUCGCAUGUAAAUGUGGGUUUGGGUGCAAUUUUUGGAACC